AGCUAUCGCAGCGAUUUUAAA
rnacentral:snRNA from 1 species